UGCUGGUAGAUGCUGCUUGUUGUGACUGCUGGAAUAAGAGGAGGCUGGGGGCUGCGGACGGUGGGCCAGGAAUGGAGAGGCCAAAUACAUCCAUGGCAAGCAGUAAGCCAGUUGGCAGUGGCCUAGAUGUUAUGACCUCAGCUCAUGGCAUGAGGGAAGGUUGCUGUCCAGACCCAUGGCCUCUCUUUCCAGCUGUGCCACUACAUUGGAGGACUGCAUGAGGGAAUCACUCGUCUGAGAACGGAACAGCUGCUCCACGUUCUGCAGGAGAGUGAACACCUCAUCGGAUGGACGGUGGUAGAGAACACAGGACUCGGUCUUUGUCAUGUCAGGUGGUGAUGGGUCUACCAGCUGCUCCACUCUCACAACCUCAGAAGCACUGCAGCUGCUUUUCUGGGUGUCCAGGAAGUCCGCCAAGUGGUCUGAUGCAUCAUCCAGAUCUUGCUGGACCUCCAGAAUUGUUGUUGUGGCCAUCACCAGUCCAGUCUGGACUGGUUUCCAGCUGCCCUGGGGACCGAUCUUCAGGCCCCGAAAAAGAUGGAUCGAGUCGCGGAGGAAGCUGAUGGCCUUUUCAUACUCUUCCAUCUUGAAAUGACUGAGGGCACAAACAACAUUGCGGGAUGACAUGAGGUCAAACCAGUGGUCCAUCUUCUCCAAAAACCAUGACGUUGUAAGGCUCCAGGACACCUCUGGACAGAUUGGGUGCAAGCUUAAUUGCCAUGCCCUCCUGGAAGGACACCAGAUCCUUUAAGGGGGCAACAGAGACUUCACUCGAUGCCAGCUGCUCCUU